UACGUAGGGUGCAAGCGUUGUCCGGAAUUAUUGGGCGUAAAGAGCUCGUAGGCGGUCUGUCGCGUCGAAUGUGAAACCCGGGCUCAACCCGGCCUGCAUUCGAUACGGGCAGACUAGAGUUCGGUAGGGAGUCGUGGAAUUCCUGGUGUAGCGGUGAAAUGACGCAGAUAUCAGGAGGAACACCGGUGGCGAAGGCGGGACUCUGGGCCGAUACUGACGCUGAGGAGCGAAAGCGUGGGGAGCGAACAGG
rnacentral:rRNA from 1 species